AAACCAACAGGGAUUGCCCCAGUAACGGCGAGUGAAGCGGCAACAGCUCAAAUUUGAAAUCUGGCCCUUUCGGGUCCGAGUUGUAAUUUGUAGAGGAUGCUUUUGGCAAGGCGCCGCCCGAGUUCCCUGGAACGGGACGCCACAGAGGGUGAGAGCCCCGUCUGGCUGGCCGCCGAGCCUCUGUAAAGCUCCUUCGACGAGUCGAGUAGUUUGGGAAUGCUGCUCAAAAUGGGAGGUAUAUGUCUUCUAAAGCUAAAUAUUGGCCAGAGACCGAUAGCGCACAAGUAGAGUGAUCGAAAGAUGAAAAGCACCUUGAAAAGAGGGUUAAAUAGUACGUGAAAUUGUUGAAAGGGAAGCGCUUGUGACCAGACUUGGGCGCGGCGGAUCAUCCGGGGUUCUCCCCGGUGCACUUCGCCGUGUCCAGGCCAGCAUCAGUUCGUCGCGGGGGAAAAAGGCUUCGGGAACGUGGCUCCCCUGGGAGUGUUAUAGCCCGUUGCAUAAUACCCUGCGGUGGACUGAGGACCGCGCAUCUGCAAGGAUGCUGGCGUAAUGGUCACCAGCGAC
rnacentral:rRNA from 1 species